rnacentral:tRNA from 1 species
GGGGCCUUAGCUCAUCAGGAAGAGCGCUGGUUUUGCAAGCCGGAGGCGGUCGGUUCGAGUCCGACAGGUUCCACCA